rnacentral:sRNA from 1 species
UUCUCUCCCAUCUGGCAGAGGAGUCCGGCUCCCUAAAUCUUCUUUUUGUUGAUGAUCGCCGGGUGUCCUCCUUUUCCCUCUAGUCAGACAAGGUGAGCGCUUCCGCGGCGGGGCUUCUGUAAAGAGGUCACAGCACGCUGUGUCCCGGGACGCACGCGGAUUCCUGCACAGGUGUGGUGGCUGCGGAUGGGGACGGAGCGUAGCAGGCUCGCCGGCCUCCUCCCGGCGGCGGCUCCGCUUCUCCUUCCUGCUGUUCACUUCAUCUCCUCAUCUGCAUGUGUGACAGCGGCGCGCGGACUGGGGAAGGACAGAGCGCCCUCUCCCCGGCUCCCGUGCAGCGGGGCGGGGGCUCCGGGCUCCCCAGUGAUGCGUCGUCUGCGCCUCGCCGCCGCGCUCCCCGGGCCUGGCAGCGGCCAGGCGUGGACGCCGCCGGACCGCUGAGACUCGGGGCACGGUGAAGCACUGGCCGGCGUCUGGCUGGGUCCGGCGCUCGGGAGCCAGAUGGAGGUGGAGAUA